rnacentral:rRNA from 2 species
AUUCCCCUAGUAACUGCGAGUGAAGCGGGAAAAGCUCAAAUUUGAAAUCUGGCAGUCUUUGGCCGUCCGAGUUGUAAUCUAGAGAAGUGUUACCCGUGCUGGACCGUGUACAAGUCUCCUGGAAUGGAGCGUCAUAGAGGGUGAGAAUCCCGUCUCUGACACGGACUACCAGGGCUUUGUGGUAUGCUCUCAAAGAGUCGAGUUGUUUGGGAAUGCAGCUCAAAAUGGGUGGUAAAUUCCAUCUAAAGCUAAAUAUUGGCGAGAGACCGAUAGCGAACAAGUACCGUGAGGGAAAGAUGAAAAGAACUUUGGAAAGAGAGUUAAACAGUACGUGAAAUUGCUGAAAGGGAAACGCUUGAAGUCAGUCACAUUGACCAGGGAUCAGCCUUGCCUUUUCGCAUGGUGUACUUUCUGGUUGAUGGGUCAGCAUCAAUUUCGACCGCUGGAAAAAGGCUUGGGGAAUGUGACAGCUCUGGCUGUGUUAUAGACCCUUGUCAUAUACAGCGGUUGGGAUUGAGGAACGCAGCACGCCGCAAGGCCGGGUUUCGACCACGUUCGUGCUUAGGAUGCUGGCAUAAUGGCUUUAAGCGACCCGUCUUGAAACACGGACCAAGGAGUCUAACAUGCCUGCGAGUGUUUGGGUGGAAAACCCAAGCGCGUAAUGAAAGUGAAAGUUGAGAUCCCUGUCGUGGGGAGCAUCGACGCCCGGACCAGAACUUUUGGGACGGAUCUGCGGUAGAGCAUGUAUGUUGGGACCCGAAAGAUGGUGAACUAUGCCUGAAUAGGGUGAAGCCAGAGGAAACUCUGGUGGAGGCUCGUAGCGAUUCUGACGUGCAAAUCGAUCGUCAAAUUUGGGUAUAGGGGCGAAA